rnacentral:rRNA from 1 species
UACGUAGGCAGCAAGCGUUGUUCGGAAUUACUGGGCGUAAAGAGUGUGUAGGCGGUGUUCCAAGUCUGGUGUGAAAUCUCCCGGCUUAACUGGGAGGGUGCAUUGGAAACUGGAAUGCUAGAGGAUGGGAGAGGUAAGCGGAAUUCCUGGUGUAGCGGUGAAAUGCGUAGAUAUCAGGAGGAACACCCGUGGCGAAGGCGGCGCCCUGGUCCGUUACUGACGCUGAGACGCGAAAGCAUGGGUAGCAAACAGG